GCUCAUGUAGCUCAGUGGUAGAGCGCGUCCUUGGUAAGGACGAGGUCGCGGGUUCAAUCCCCGCCAAGAGCU
rnacentral:tRNA from 1 species